CUUGGAAAGAGUUAAGAUGGAGAAUUACAGCAAACUUUUUAUUUACAAAAAUUCUUUGCUACUCUCAGGUUAGCUGCCACAGCUGACCUGAACAGAAAGGAAAUUCUUUUAACUUAGUUCCACCAAACUCAAUCAACUUCUCAUGUCCUGUAGGUCGCAAUGCCAGCACAGCUCCUUGUUAAGUGCUACUGCACAGGCCUAUGCUUAACUCAAGGAAAACACUGGCUCAUUUUACACUGAAUAACAACUAGAAGAGAAUAACCUUUGGUCUAGGUUAGAAAAAUACACGUGACUGAUUUCUUCUCAACCAGGUAAUCCCUUAAGUAAACUGAUAUUUUUGCCAGCACAUGAUGCAACAAGCAUCUUGUUCAUAUGGCUUUUUGAUUUGUCUCCCACUUACUGCAACGCUCAUUUUUAUACUAUUGCUUUUAUUUAUAAGCCUUUGUCUUCAGACUGUGAACAGAAACAUCAGAAACAGGAUCUUCAAAGGAGAACUGUCACACGAGGCUCUCUUGACUAAAUCCUUAUUCCUUCUCCCAAGGUUGAGGCAGAUUUUAGCCAACAGUUUAACAUCUAAGCGUUGUGCCUUACACGCUCUGCUGCUAUUUAUACCCUCCUCUGACGAGAAGGACACAUCAGCAUAAGGUGAUGGCGCUGUUUGCAUGAUGCAAGGAACUGCAAGAGCCCUCCCCUUAAUGCCUCGGCAGAGCCCAGAGGAACUACAGCGACCGGCACGCCGUGCUCCCAGCGCUGCUCCCAGCCCUGCUCCGUGCUCCCAGCGCUGCUCCCAGCCCUGCUCUGUGCUCCCAGCGCUGCUCCGUGCCCUGCUCCGUGCUCCCAGCGCUGCUCCGUGCCCUGCUCUGUGCUCCCAGCGCUGCUCCGUGCUCCCAGCCGGAAGCAGCCCCACUGCCGGCAACACCUGUAACCCUGCACACAACAGGUGCACGAACACCUGGGAUCACGGGCAUUGCCCUACGUGUUCCACACCUGGGAACUCCGCGAGUACGUCUCUGACACCUACAUAAACAGGAAAGGAGCAGAAGCACCUGACAUAUACCAGGCAUUAUUACUGCAACAUAUAGAGGCUGCUUCCAUCAUCUCCUAUAUUUUUCUCUGAGCCAUGGCUGCUACAACUUAAAGUUAUCUUGCUUUCUUUUUAACCAGACAUUCAUCAAUGCAAAAUAAUUACUCAUGUUUCUUAUCCCAGAGUGAAACUGAAAAGACAAGAGGGAAGAAACCAGAGUGGGUGUAGCUGUAAGGAGAGGGCUGUGAACAGCUCUCAUCCCAGAUGUUUGUUCCCAGUUACCUGACUGUGCCCCCCAGACUGUGCUCCAUGCCCAUACCACUCUUCCAGAACUUCUUUUUUAAUCCAAAUCCAAUCUCCAAGGAUGUUCUAUGAGAAGCUCAGAAAAGCCUCGUUGAAUCAUGUAGUAAACAAAAAGCACAUGCAAGUUUUUGAAGCUGUGCCUAGAACACAUCCUCCCCUGAAUGAACAAGAAGCUUCACUGCAAGCAGGCAUUUUGAGCAUACUAAUAAGCAACUAUAAAAAGAUCUUAAUAAACACAGUGCUGUUUCAAGACUGGGCCUACAAGUCAAACUUCAGUAUCCUACAAUUACUUAAUCUCCAUUUUGCCUUCUUAGUGGAUUAGUCAGAAACUUAGAAGCAGCAAACAGUUCUAAGGUGUAACACUCAUUCUUUAAAGUUUAUGGUUUUU
rnacentral:lncRNA from 12 species